UCACCUGGCCAGGGAGGCGGCCGAGGCGGCUCAUGCAUGGAAGGCAGGCUGCUUCCUCGCCACCUGGCCCCAUGGGGCUGCCCGGUGUCCUCAUAACAUGGCAGCUGGUGGCCCCUGUGCAAGAGCUCCCACAGGGCAAGGCAGAACCACCAGGCCAAGGCAGAAGAGCCAGCCCUGUUGUCCCCCACCACCUCCCUGUGUUGUCCCGGUCACCUGGCCCUCAGACUGUCCUCUGGGGCUCAGCCAGUUCCCAGCAGUGAGACCAGCCACUUCUCCAUCAUAGCUCUGUGGCACUGACCUGUGGCCCAUUUUCUCUGAUGCAUGGUUCUUGUCCUCAACAGGUCCCUGGUGCGCCGGGUGCCCACACCUCUGCUAUGCUGCCACCGGGGGCUGCAGAGCUUAUGGGUCCUGCCAGGAUUUCACGGGGCAUGUGGCUUAAGAGGAGGGUACAGCGAGAAUGCUACGCUUUGCUGCCCAGUUGUGUGGCCUGUGUCCUCACUUGUGACCUGAGCAUAAUCAUGGAAGUCCAUCUGUGGCCUCUGGAAGCUGCGUGAAGAUUUCAGCCAGCAUCCAGCCUAGAGCAGCAUGUGGAUGACAAGGCUCCUGUGACCACGCUGACAGCCGGGCGUGUCUGUGCCCUGGGUCACCUCUUUGGAGAGCUGGGACAGUGUGCAGGCUGGAGGGCCAAGGGGAGCUUCAGUUGUUCUGGUCGGGUCCCUGAGUCACAGCAGCGAAACAGCUGACUAAAACAGUGGAUGUGCCACACCCUUCAGCAGUGACCGGCCCUGAGUGCCCAGUGCCCAACCCCGCGUGUGCUCUGACUUUCCUGGCGGUGGUCUCAGAUGCUCCAGAAGCCCGGGCUGAGCUGGAGGAGGGAGCCGAUGUGAAGAUGCGUGGCCCUUUUUAUACCAAAAGGUCUGCACCCAGCCAGGGCCUCGCAGGAGGCUUCAAUCCCUCCUUCUGCUCUUCCGUGUCUGGACACCAGGAUGCCACCUCAAGUUGUCAUUGGUGGGGCGGGCCUUCACCUGCCACCCCGCCUGCACACCUUGACGUUGGUCUUCCGGCCUCCAAGCUGGGAGGCAGCUUCCUGCUCUGUGUGGAGACCCAGGGCUGGCGCUUGGCUGUGCCCCUUGAUGGACUAAGACGGGCAGGUAAGGUGGCUGACCUCUGGGGCAGGCCCCAGGAGACCCUGUCCCGUCUCACUAGAAGCCCCAGAGCAAGUGUCCUGCAUUAUGUGGCAUCCCCUGCCAGAGUGUCCUGUGUCACACACAGUGACUGGACCUCCCAUGCAGCUACAUUGUGUGGGAAAGCAGGUGAGCCCAGAGGCAGCAGCCCUGUGAGCCCAGGCUUACCCCAUGCUGGGCAGUGUGUCAAGGGAAAUCUGGGGGCCACCCUGUGCCACCCAGCAGCUCCUACAAAGCACCAGGACCCCAUUGCUCUGGAGGGAAAUGCUCCCUGCUCCUAUUUCACAGAUACUGAGAUGGAUGAGGAGAGGGUUGACAGGCUCUCACAGGGGCCAGUCAGAGGCAGGGAGGGGGGCAGGCUGGCUCACGGUGUCCUGGGUCCCCUUGCUCCUUACCGUGUCUCCCCCUCUCGCCGCAGGGCUGGGGCCCGUCUCUUUGCCAGGGCCACCAUGUCUGGGCGAGCUCAGCUGUAUCUAUUUGGAGGCCAGCUGUGUUCCAGGCUCUGGUGGUGAUGUGCCGCCCCAGGCCAUGGCGGAGGCCAGCAUUGAGACAGCCAGGAGCAACGUCAUGACUGGCCAUCACGCUGACGAUCUGCAGCCCUGAGCUGAGCUGGAGGCCCUCCUGUUUCCCUGGACUUGGACACAGGAGGGGCAGCCUCGUCUACCUGGGGGCCAGCGAGGUGGAGAUCUGCCAGCAAGACGGUGCUGCCGUGUCAUGUGAGGCAAUCAGGAGGUGGCCUUCCUUGGCUGUAUCCUGGGAGCUGCAGGAAGUCACAGAUCCUGCCUCCGUACAAGAGGAAGAUGGCAGAGGGCACAAGUUCUAGGAGCACGGAUGGCAGAGACCUCGGGAGAGUCUGUCUCUCUGGAGCCCCAUGCUAGCACCUCCUGGAUGCAAAACGUCCUUCCUUCUCAGAGCUCCCGGGGGAGCCAUGACAGCACCCGCUCCGAGUGCAGAAACCCUGGUCCAAAGCAGGCCUGGGGGUGGAGGAGGCUCCGUGGGUGCCAUCCUGAAGUCUAAAGAGGCAAGUGACCCAUGUCCCGACCAUGCCCAGCGUGCUGGUGGAAGGGCAUGGAUGGCAGCUGCAGACAGGAAUGCUGGGGGCCAUGGAGGGCCACUGGACCAUGCAGCUGUGAAAUCCACCUGGUCAGGGAAGCCCCCUGGCAGCUGGCAGUCACAGGAAUGAUUGCCCCUGGCCCUUGGCUCUGCUCUCUGGGCUCUGGGUUCUGAGCCCCGAGUUCCCCUGGUGUUCCUGGACACCUGAGUCUCUAGCCAGGCUGCUCCUGCCAGGAGAACUCGGGGGUGCCCUCUCCUGCCCAGGUGGAUGUCACAGCUGCAUGGCCCCCAGCAUUCCUGUCUGCAGCUGAAGUCCUUUUCAGAGGUGUUUCUGCCUCCCCCGGGGUCACACCCCUGGAGAAGCUGUGUGUGGGGGGGUAUUCCUGCCACAAGCUCUCUCCAGUGUGGGCUCUGCCGGGGAGGCCAAGGGACCGCACCCUCAGCUCCCUGGAGGCUGGGAGGCACACGCUCUCUGUCCUGGCCUUUCCAGCCACAGGGUGGCCAGGCUCGCUGGCGGCCUUCUCUGGGCUGAGCUGUCCUGGGUGCCUGCUUGUGGCCACAAUAGCACCACCUGCCAUCCCACAGGCAGAGGAGUUUCAAAAUCAAGUUCUGGUUCCUUUUGGCCGCACAGCUGUGCCUUCAACACCCUCCCCAUCCUGCAGCGAGAAGCCAGAGAGCACCCACUCAGCUGCAGAACUUUCUCCCCUGCAUGUGUGGCGAGGACUCCCUCCUCAUUUCCAGCACCGCGUUCCUCGUCCCCCGGCCCCUGGGCAGUGACGGGCCAGUGCAGUCUACCACUUCGUCUGAUCAAGGCACUGAGUCCUCUACCUCCAUCCCUGGAAUCUGUUCCCCCGUCUGGUUCUGAAGCCACUGUCACGCGUCCAGGUCAGACUGAGCAUCCCUGAUGCCCAAACCCCGAAUCUGAAAUGCUCUGAAAUUGGGAACUUUCUAGCACCAGGAUGAGGCUCAAAGUUCAGAUUUCAGUGUAUUUUAGAUUUUUGCAUCAGGGAUACUCAGCGGGGAAAGUCUACAACAAUCUCCCCCAAUCUGGAAAACUCUGAAACCUGAAACACCCUGGUCCUGAGCAUCUCUGGUGGAGGAUACUCAGCCGGCACCUGUUUUAACAGCUCCACUUGCGGGUCCAAGUCGCGGGUCAGUUAGCCGGUGCUGCUGCCCCUGGCCACACAGACCCAGCCAGCCUGGGAAGGAUUGGCUCCCAGGCUCUCUGCUGGCAGAACUCAACUCCUCGUGGAUGUAGAAUUAAGAGCCUCUGUUUGCUGCAGGCCACUGGCUGGGUGUCCCAGUUCAUGGCCACCAGGGCUCCCCAGAAUGACAGCUGGCUGCAGCCAAGCCAGCCGGGGCCCGUGUUCAGGGAGAUGGAUGUCAAGGUCCUAUGUAAUGUAGCCUCAGAAGGGACCCACCCUCCCUUCUCCAUAGUCUGUUGGCUAAUUCUGCCCCGACUCAGGGAGGGUCACCCGAGGGCAUGGAUUCAAGGUGGGUGACCAGGCCGUCUGGAACUCUCCCCACGAGGGGGUCGCAGCUUCUGAGCUCGUGCCCCUCCCGUCGGUGCUCGGACCCCACCCCCUCCUGCUCAGUGACCUGGAGAGCUGGUCUCUAGGCCUCCACUCCUCGGGCUCCUGAUGGAGCGGGUCCUGGCAGACAACCCCUGGCCAGAUGACACACAGAUGGCCCUGGGUCUGCCUUCCUGCCCACUGAGUCCUGGCGAAGGCCCGCCCCCUGUUCUGUGCCCUCUCCUGGCUCCUUUGGGGUGGACCCCAGGCUCCUCCCCUCUGAGCCCAGGGACUGUGGCCCUGAUGUGCCACAGGCCCCACCUGCUCCACCUCCUCACUCUCUGGACGUUCUGGAAUGUUCCCCUGUUGGGCUGGAUGUCCCCUGCUCAUCAUAGUGCUCUCCUGGGUGACAGGGGACACCUCCAGGCCUCUCCCCCAGGACAGAAGGCUGUGGCCUUCCCUGUGGCAGAUAGAUGGGUCUAGAAUAAAACAGCAGGCUUGGAAACCAGCCUCUCAGCCGAACAGGGGCUCCGCGGGGCAGAGGGUCCUCUGUUCCACCUGAGGCUGCACAGGGCUCACACAGACGUGGGCCAGUUAGGCACUGGGAGGCUCCAGACCCCAGACUCCCUCUCUCUGGGGAGGGAACUGAGGCUCAGAGGUGGGAAGGGAAGGGCAAAGGUACCCAGCCAAGGGGUGGAGGAUCCCAGACCUGCUCACAUUCUUCAGACUGACAGCCGUCGCUGCCAGGGGGCAGGAGGACAGGGACCGGGAAGAGGCAGUGCCAAGGGGAGGGGCCAAGGCCACAGUCACGUGACCUUUGCGGGCAGGUGAGUCUCACCUACUAGGCUGAGUGACCUACUCAGGGAGGGUCACCCGAGGGCAUGGACUCAAAGUGGGUGACCAGGCCGUCUGGAACUCUCCCCACAAGGGGGUCGCAGCUUCUGAGCUGUGCCCCACCCACAGGAGCCCAGCCUGGCGUGUGCUCUCUGUAGGGGGUGGGGGAGGGGAGGAGCAGGGUCCGAACGUCAGCUUCUGCGCGUCAGGGAGGGAUGAGUCGAGUCUGCAACCUCAUACCUCCCUCUCAGGGGCCUCCUGAGGUUGUGCGGGCCUGGCCGAGUCCGACCUGGGCUUAAAGAGGAUACGGAGAGGACAAGUUGCCCUGGGCCCCUGCAGGCUGGCCUUGGGUUCCUGGGAGUACAGUGGGGCAGUCACCUCCCUCCAGAGCCAGGCCUGCCCCGGAGAGGCAAGGGCAGGUGUCCCGCUUUUGGCUGCUCACGGGUCUGGCAAGCUGCUGAGUGUCUGUCACAGGGGGACAGUGCUCCCGCCCUUGUGCCUCACUGGGCAGGAACGGGCAUCAGGUGGGUGGAAUGCCAAGGCUCUGUGCGGUGGGGAACCACGGACCCGCAGUUAGAGCCAGUCUGCGUGUUGAACGGGUCCCAGCUGCAGCUCAGCAGCACCUCUCCUGGGGAAGCUCACCCGUGCUGGAGAGCUGUCACCAACAGGUUCCCAGCACUGAGGCCUGGGAGCCCUGACCAGCAGCCCCACGGUCCACCCACAGCAUUGGUGCUUGGCCAUGUGCUCAGACAGCGAAACACCAGUGACCCUGCAGGAUCUUUAGGUACGUGAACACAAGAAGCCAGGUACAGUUCCAACAGCCCUCUAAGCCACAUGUCCCCAAGGAUGAACACGUGGGGCCAACUUACAGGAGAACAAGGGGACCCCAAACCCAGGGUGCUUCUUACCUCUGGGGAGAUGUCACCACUAACUGUGUCAUUGCUACUGCCAUCACUGCCCCUGGGGAGACAUGGCCAGCCCCAUGUUGAGUCACUGCGGGGAAGCAGCGACCAGCUUCUGAGUCUGGGACCCCCUGAGCCUGGGCCCCAUGCCACACCCCUGACACCAAGUGGAAAAUGUUGCGAGUGUGGGCACAGUACGCUCGGCUGGGCUCCCUCAGAAGCAGUCUGAGCACAGACUCAGGCGCGAGUGGGUCUUUGGAGGUGACCCCAGGAAAUUCUGGUAGGUGUGUGAGAACCCACCCAGGGCAGGGCACGCUACGAAGCCGGUGGACGGUCAGGGCGCAGUCCCUGGGACAUGCCUGUACCAUGGAGAUGGACACCCAGAGGAGACGGAGCAGGGUGAUGACCCACCCUCGCAUCCUCUGCUGGCCCGUGGCGGCUCCCGGGCGCCCACUGCCCAGCUCUUUGGGCCUCCCCCGCAUCUUGGGCUGAGCUUGCCUUUGCCACGGAGCACCCAGAGAAACCCUUUCAAGCUUGACCAUGGAGGACUGGGCUCAUGGGGCCGAGGAAUGCGCUCAGGAUUAUAUUUGUAGAAGCGGAUUUGGAUCUAGGCCCGGCCAGGCCCAGGUCCCGUGCUGUCCUGCCUUGCUGUGGUCCUGCUUGGCCAGGGGCAGGGCCUGCGGUGUCAGAGGUGGGUCUGCAUCUCAGGACAAUGGAGACCACACCAGCGUCUGGCUCCAGCCUUUGUGCCUCAGAGCCGGGAGACAUGUCAUCGCUGCGGGAAUAAGUGUUACACUCUGUCCAGACCCAGAGCCUAACGAGGCCCAGAUGCCCAGGGGAGGCCAGCAGACGUGGGUUUUCCAUGUAAGGCCUGACUGGCAGGGGGGCGUGUUCCUCAGGUCUCCGCGGAGUGCUCAGCUCUGGAAUCAGAUUCUCAGCUCGUGGUGCUGGGCCUCAGGGUCUGUCCAGGGAUGAUAACCAGGACCCGUGAGGCCACAGGAUUCCCGGGGCUGGGCGGGACCGCGAAGGAGUCGGCUCCAUCUUGGUGCUGGGAGGACGUGGACAGGGGCCCAGGGAGGGGCGGGUGUGCCCAGCCCUCACAGCUACUUCGAGGUGAGACUGAGCUUUCCUAACUGCUGCCACCGUGCCAGGUCCUGCGCAGGGCCUCCUGCCCCUCCCCCAGGCCAGGGUGGCUGGGGAGAGCUCAGGGCAGACAUGUGCUUGGGUGGCCUGGGACAGGAGUGGAGGCAGCAGCUGGGCCUGUGUGGGUGUCGUUGGGGACACUGUGAAGAUCACCGAGGUGGCCCUAUCUGGCCAUGGAGAGCUUCCCUCCUGGGGCAGGACCAGGCAAUGCCCAGUUCAUGGCCUUCCUUGGCCGGGUGCCAAUGCCAGGUUAGCCCCGCCACCCUCCAGAGGUUCUUGGUGACCAUCUCUCGGCCACUCAUUAAAAGCAUGUUUUUCUCCACCGAGAGCCUGUGUGCUCACCGUGGACGUUCACACACUUCAGCCGGGUCUGACGGUCGGACAGCCCUGCAGGGACACGCAGAGAGGGACGGGCAGCGACCUCCACAGGGCCUUCUGGCUCUCGCGUGCACCUCUUGGGACUCUCAGGGGCCACAUCUACGCUGGUGAGCAGGCUGCAGCUCUCCCAGCUGGGCAGGUCCUGGGUGCUGUCCCGUGUCUGGGCAUGAGCAGGGGACCUGGGUCUCUGGCCCUGCCUCCUGCAGCUCGCAGGGAGGGUGGGCACAACCCUGGGGUCCUUUGGGGCCUGAGCAUGCUGGUCACAUUCCGAGGGGUCUGCUGGUGGCAGGACACCUCCAGGUCCUGGUGAGCAUCCUCGUCAUUCACUCUGUCCUGUCUCACCCAAGGGUAUGGAAACGAGGCCUGAGGGGCAGUGGGGCCGGAGGGGCAGCGGGGCCAGAGGGGCA